GCCAAUGUAAUGUAAUGGUUUGAGAGUUGGACUAGGACUCUGGGGGACCAGGGUUCGAAUCCUGGCUUGGGCG